rnacentral:lncRNA from 1 species
UACAACAAGCUAAACUUAUAACUAUUUGUCUCUAUCUCUUUGUUUUUCUAUUCCCACACAUAUUUUUGAGAUAGGGUCUCACUAUGUGGCUCUGGCUGGCCUGGAACUCUCUAUGUAGAGCAGUCUGGCCUCAAACUCACGGAGCUCCACCUGCCUCUGCUUCCUGAGCCCAGGGAUUCUCAGGUAUGCACUCCAAUACUCGGCCCGUAUUUUCUUUCAUAUUUUGUAAAAAUGAACUUUAGCCAAAAGAAAAAAAAAAAAAAAAAAAAAAAAAGAGAAAAGAACAGGAAGAAGUUUGGUGGCCCCGAUUAAUUAAUGCUUCCCCAGAUCUUCCUCAGCUACUAGAAAAAUGAAACCACUAAUCUCAGCCAACGUGGUCCCUUCAGUCAGACUGGUGUGGAGAUCAUUUACACGUUAGUAGCCAUCGGACUGGAAAUCGUUCAUAAACAUGGCCCCUGCAUCUCUUUGGUUCAGAAAGAACUUUCCAAGAAAAUAAAAAUACAAACCAAAGCAAGUGACUGGGCACUUCAGUCUCCAGCCUCACGGUUUUUGGGGUCUGUGAUGUUCAAAUUGGGUUUCCCAGCAGCUGAGGGACCAUCUAAUGACAGGUCAAGAGAGGUCAGUUUCUAUUUUCAAUCAAGUUUCUAUCGUUACAGGUCUCUUGGCUUCGAGAGUUUCUUACUAUUUCAAUGAACACCUGGGUUGCAGAAUCGGAUGGAUUCCCCUGAUGCACUGAACGUAUUUUUUUAGGGACGUCUAAGUGACAGACAGUGCUGGGCCUCUAUUUUCUCUUAGCUGCAACAUUCUCUCCUGGAGGGGGGGAGAGAGGAAGAGAGUGUGACUUAACACAGUUCUGAAAAAAAAUCAGAGUUGCAAGAUCCACAAGGCUCUUACUUCAAAGCACUGAACAGUUGUUGCUGGGAGAGGGGACUUGCUGACUGGGCAAGCUGCCUGAGACCCUCGGAGAGCUCCGGGAAUGUAGCCUCCAGUGCCUGUUCCCACCACCGCUAGACUGCACUCCUUCUGGCGCGCUGCUGUCUCAGCCAUCGCAGACGGAAAUCCUUCAAACACCAUGAACCAACAUGAACUUUAAGCCAUGAAAUGGCUUCUGCUCUGUGCUCUGUCACAGCUGCAAACAAAGGAAUCAGCCCAUGACUUGAGUUGAGUGGAGUCUGCGUUCCUGGGUGAAGUUGCAGGAUCACUUUCAUUUGAAGGGCGCUCCUGUUCACAGUCCCUCCUCAUUGAAGUCCCUCUGCGUGGGUGGUCACUCAGGGGAGCUUUCUGAUGAGAUCUCUUUUCUGUAUUUCCUUCAUGGUGUUGAGAAUGGUCAUGUGGCAGACUACAGUCUUCCCACUUUCACCCUCCACCUCUGAAAUGAGGAGAGGGCCCCUAAGUGUGUAUGGAAAAACAGAAUUUAAUAACACCAAAGAGAUAAAUGUACCUCAACAGGAUCAGAAAUGAUCUAGUGGCAUAGAAAAACAUUUGUGCAAGUUUAAGACAAUUCACCCUGGAUCCUUUGUUAGAGCACGUCUUCAGUCCUUAAGCAGAAUUCCCAGGUUCCUUUGGGUAUAGAACAUACAAGCUGAGGCUACAGCAAGCUCGUAUGAAUGCCAGUGAAAGUGGCAAACACUAAAUAAAACAUUGGACGGGACAUAAUGCAACUCGCAAGUAUAUUUAAGUCAAAAGUCUCAAGGAAAGUUCAGGUUGAGAUUAGGAACGGCUCUGGGAUAUGCCGCAACACUUUCAAGGGCUGCCAACCGUGUUUUAGGUGACUUUGCUAGAACUCUUUGGAAAACACUAUGCAUGGGAUGUGUUAUAUACAGCUAAAUUCCUGAAGCUAAAGACCUCGGGUUCUGUCCUGGGACGGGCAAUGCCUCUUGUGAGGUCUCUGUGUGGUUGAUGGGCAUAUAGACGUUUUCUGGAUCCCCCACCACAACACUGGAUGUACUUUCAUCUACAACAAAUACUUGGUGCUCAGGAUGGGCAGAAGGCAGCUGUGAGAGCACCCCUCUCUGCUAUCUUUUACUUACAGAUCAGAAGCCACUAAAGCAGCUGGUGUUCCCUUCACCUGACCUUCCCAUUCUGAUUGCAUCCUAAGCUCUGCUAACCAUGCACUGAGUCCAUUCGUGAAUUCCCCCAAACCAAAGGAGCCAUCCACUUGUGACCAGAAGCUCUAAUCACCCCUCCCCCAAACCCCUUCCUUCUCAAGCAUACCAUUCUCUUGCAUUUGGUGCGAAGGUAUUAUGACCCGUUUCAUGCCGGCUCCUUAUCCUACUCGCUGUUCUAGCCAAACAGUAUGAGCAGAACACCCUUUUCAAUGGCAUCAGAUCUCCACUUUACCCUUCCAACUCAAGGACCCAAGAGUCAGUGGGUCAUUUAGGUAUGGAUCUAGAGAUAUCAGUCUGUCCAUCUUCUCAGACUUUCACACUUCUACCGACAUCUACGUCCACUCCUCUGUUCAUUGUAGCCUUUGUCCCAUGGAUCGCAAUUCCGAGAGACGGCAGCAGCAGGUGAGGUCAGGCUCCCACUGCUUGCUUAUGUUUGUGCUUUCAAGUUUAGUAUAGAACUUUUAUCUGACUGGCCUUUCAUCUCAAGAUUUAAUUUUUUCACCUACUAGCAAAGGGGUCUGAUGUUCGAAUGGGAGCUUUAAGAGAACAGACUAUACAGGCUUAGAGAGAAUGGUUGAGACUUUGCCUGCCUCCCAGGUGUGGCCAAUACUGCCACACUGGGCAUGCUGCCUUUAAUACUUCAUUCUUGAUAAUUCAGCAAGCUUGCUAUGAAUAUGCUCAAAUGUUCAGAAACCCCAAUAUCUUUGGUGCAGAGAAC